rnacentral:rRNA from 1 species
CCUACGGGUGGCAGCAGUGGGGAAUAUUGGGCAAUGGGCGCAAGCCUGACCCAGCAACGCCGCGUGAAGGAAGAAGGCUUUCGGGUUGUAAACUUCUUUUCUGAGGGACGAAGAAAGUGACGGUACCUCAGGAAUAAGCCACGGCUAACUACGUGCCAGCAGCCGCGGUAAUACGUAGGUGGCCAGCGUUAUCCGGAUUUAUUGGGUGUAAAGGGCGUGUAGGCGGGAAAGCAAGUCAGAGGUGAAAACUAAGGGCUCAACCCUGAGCCUGCAUUUGAAACUGUUAUUCUUGAGUGCUGGAGAGGCAAUCGGAAUUCCGUGUGUAGCAGUGAAAUGCGUAGAUAAACGGAGGAACACCAGUGGCGAAGGCGGAUUGCUGGACAGUAACUGACGCUGAGGCGCGAAAGCGUGGGGAGCAAACAGGAUUAGAUACCCGAGUAGUC